CUACGGGACGCAGCAGUGGGGAAUAUUGCACAAUGGGCGCAAGCCUGAUGCAGCCAUGCCGCGUGUAUGAAGAAGGCCUUCGGGUUGUAAAGUACUUUCAGCGGGGAGGAAGGGAGUAAAGUUAAUACCUUUGCUCAUUGACGUUACCCGCAGAAGAAGCACCGGCUAACUCCGUGCCAGCAGCCGCGGUAAUACGGAGGGUGCAAGCGUUAAUCGGAAUUACUGGGCGUAAAGCGCAUGCAGGCGGUUUGUUAAGUCAGAUGUGAAAUCCCCGGGCUCAACCUGGGAACUGCAUCUGAUACUGGUGAGAUUGAGUCUCGUAGAGGGGGGUAGAAUUACAGGUGUAGCGGUGAAAUGCGUAGAGAUCAGGAGGAAUACCGAUGGCGAAGGCGGCCCUCUGGACGAAGACUGACGCUCAGGUACGAAAGCGUGGGGAGCAAACAGGAUUAGAUACCCGCGUAGUC
rnacentral:rRNA from 1 species